AGUGGACCUGUGCAUCUGUCUGUAUGUGUGUGUGUGUUUCUGUGUUACAUGUGUGCAGUUUGGAAGCACAAUGUGAAUACCAACGAGCCAGGAGCUCCUCCCUCGUGUGCUGGCUAUUGUCACAGUCAUAUAAGGCAGAUCAUGUGAAGCCUUUUGAUCACAGAGAGGAGAGAAAUCAGUGUGUUGUGAAAUAAGAGAGAUUUAGGAAGCUAAAACAUCAGUGAUGAAUGGGGGGGUGUGUGUGUGUGUGUGAGUGUGAAAUAAGAGAGAUUUAGGAAGCUAAAACAUCAGUGAUGUGUGUGUGUGUGAGAGAGAGAGAGAGAUUUAGGAAGCUAAAACACCAGUGAUGGAUGUAAACGACCACCUUUGUGAUUUUGUACUGCUUGACUUGAGAUGAGAUUGGUAUGGGUGGGCUUAUAGUGUGUAACUUGAUAUGUAAUAUACUCGCAAAUAUUUGGGUUUUGUUUUUGUAUUUUUGCAUAUGUGUUUUGAAAUGAUAGUGUGUGAAUUAAUGGUUGUGAAAAUGUUGGGUAAAUUGCAGUUUUAAAAUGUGUCCUUUUUUGGGACAGUAUUUUUGCUCACAAAGAUGAACCUUUUCUUUGAAAGUAGCUAUUUAGCGGGGUUUGAAUGGUUUCAGAAAGGCCUGCGUGAUUUUAUUGGAAUUAUAUUUAAUUUUUGAGGAAUUAUCUAGAUAAUCGGUACAAACUCGUCAUCUAAGCUAACCUGUUGUGUAUUUUAAUGUGGAGAACAAGCGUGUGUAAGGUAGGGUGUCAUUUAUUUUCUAAUCAUGUUAUUAUUUAUAUUUUUUUAUAUUUAUUCACUUUUGGUAUUAUGUAGUGAAUGUGAAUUUGUGAAAGAUGUUUGUACUGCUUGUGUGUUUGAUAUAGUUUAGAUAUGUAGGUGUAUAUAUACAUAGAUAUAGUUCACGGUGCUGAAAGCCGUCAAAAAGGGCAUAUGGACACUACAUCUGUGUUUGUACGUUGCGGUGACAGUGACACGUUUUGGCACCAGUCGAGACUCUCAUUUCGGACUCCAAGGGCUGCAACAGUGAAAACUCGACUCUGCAUCUGAGUCAUCUGCCAUGCCGCACGCUACUGCCUUUAUCGUUAGGCUCUUCAAAUCUUGGUUGUCCCAUGCACUCAGGCAAGAUCGUAAAUUAAUGGCAAGUUAUAUAAAACAGAUACUACAGACGCAGUGAGAGACUCUGGUUAACUGAGCAAUUCUAGAAACAAACUAAAUUGUUACACGAAAAGGGGGAGCGAUGAUGCAAACAUGUGAUUUGGUCAUCUGGAGGCCCUGAGGUUUUUCCACUCCUCCUCUACUGUCAUCUCUCAUCACUCCAUCCUGGCUGUAGCACAUGGCCUGCCACAUGAAAAAAAAACAGAAUAACAGGUUACAGAGGCUACACACACAGACACACACACUCAUAAACUCUCUCUCUCUCACACACACACACAAACACACACACACACAUACAGCCUCACCUACACCCAGAGUAAACUUUGCUUAGUUUAAAACAUGUCACCUCUCUCUCUGUCUGUCAUUGGAACAGUGAUGGCAACACCCACUGGGCAAAGCUUUCACUUAAAUGAAGAUGAUGUAUGUGGGUGUGAUGUUAACUGUCAAUCAAUUCCCAGCUUGUGUUGUUUGUACGGAUCCACACACACACACACACACACACAUACACACCUAUACACAUACAUACACAAGAAUGAAAGCUCAGUCUCGUAUAUUCACAAUUGAGUUCACGCUGAGAUUGGGAAGUUGUACUCCCGCAUGACUUUAGUUUUCUUUUCUGAUACACACAUUCACUCACACACCCACACACACACACACACACACACACACACCUCAGUUCAUGGGUAGAAUAAGAGUGAAUUGAAUCCGCCUGAAGUGACAGGACACUCAACCUCAUUACUCAUCUGUCACACUCAGCAACCUGAUGCAUCAUC
ensembl:lncRNA